GCUGAAUUCAAUUGAGAGAGAGUAGUGGAGAAUUGAGAGAUAUUUUGGUGCGCUGACACAUUCUAAGUGGAGGAAGAGAGAUAUUUUUAUUUUUUCUGAUUGGAUGAAUGAAAGAGUAUGGAUAGCUAAUUAAUUUGAAUCAAUGAUCCAGAUUAAAUAAAAGAAGCACACAUAAUUUAAAAUGUCAAAGUUGCCCCUUCUAAAAACUUUAAUUAAUUUAAAUGAGAUUAAAUCAAUUAAAACAACUAAAAUUCAUAUCUUCUUAAAUAAAUAUAAUAAAAAUAAAAUGAAAUGGUAGAAAAU
rnacentral:lncRNA from 1 species